GGGGGAUUAGUGGCGAACGGGUGAGUAACACGUGAGUAACCUGCCCUUGACUCUGAGAUAAGCCUGAGAAACCGGGUCUAAUACUGGAUAUGACCUUCUGGCGCAUGCCAUGUUGGUGGAAAGCUUUAUUGCGGUUUUGGAUGGACUCGCGGCCUAUCAGCUUGUUGGUGGGGUAAUGGCCUACCAAGGCGACGACGGGUAGCCGGCCUGAGAGGGUGGACGGCCACACUGGGACUGAGACACGGCCCAGACUCCUACGGGAGGCAGCAGUGGGGAAUAUUGCACAAUGGGCGCAAGCCUGAUGCAGCGACGCCGCGUGGGGGAUGAAGGCCUUCGGGUUGUAAACCUCUUUCAGUAGGGAAGAAGCGAAAGUGACGGUACCUGCAGAAGAAGCGCCGGCUAACUACGUGCCAGCAGCCGCGGUAAUACGUAGGGCGCAAGCGUUAUCCGGAAUUAUUGGGCGUAAAGAGCUCGUAGGCGGUUUGUCGCGUCUGCCGUGAAAGUCCGGGGCUUAACUCCGGAUCUGCGGUGGGUACGGGCAGACUAGAGUGAUGUAGGGGAGACUGGAAUUCCUGGUGUAGCGGUGAAAUGCGCAGAUAUCAGGAGGAACACCGAUGGCGAAGGCAGGUCUCUGGGCAUUAACUGACGCUGAGGAGCGAAAGCAUGGGGAGCGAACAGGAUUAGAUACCCUGGUAGUCCAUGCCGUAAACGUUGGGCACUAGGUGUGGGGGACAUUCCACGUUUUCCGCGCCGUAGCUAACGCAUUAAGUGCCCCCGCCUGGGGAGUACGGCCGCAAGGCUAAAACUCAAAGGAAUUGACGGGGGCCCGCACAAGCGGCGGAGCAUGCGGAUUAAUUCGAUGCAACGCGAAGAACCUUACCAAGGCUUGACAUGAACUGGAACAGCGCAGAGAUGUGUUGGCCGCUUGCGGCCGGUUUACAGGUGGUGCAUGGUUGUCGUCAGCUCGUGUCGUGAGAUGUUGGGUUAAGUCCCGCAACGAGCGCAACCCUCGUUCUAUGUUGCCAGCGCGUUAUGGCGGGGACUCAUAGGAGACUGCCGGGGUCAACUCGGAGGAAGGUGGGGACGACGUCAAAUCAUCAUGCCCCUUAUGUCUUGGGCUUCACGCAUGCUACAAUGGCCGGUACAAAGGGUUGCGAUACUGUGAGUAGGAGGUAAUUCCAAAAACCCGGUCUCAGCUCGGAUUUAGGUCUGCAACUCGACCUCAUGAAGUCGGAGUCGCUAGUAAUCGCAGAUCAGCAACGCUUCGGUGAAUACGUUCCCGGGCCU
rnacentral:rRNA from 1 species